GUGGUUUGAUCCUUCACACUCUACAUACCAGUGUCGUAGCAGCAGACUGGUCUCUCCCUCUUCUGUCAUUGCAGGCUGCAAGGUCAAAGUUCAGCUGACCAAACUGCUGAUGCUGGUGAGCUUCCUAGACAUCUUCUGUACCAUCUUCAGUCACCUGAGCCAGAACUGAGUGCAUUGAGUGCUUGAACUCAUUACUGCAGACGACCAUGGACUUGAUGGGCUGACUCGCCACCAGACUGGAACUAAAGUGGACUUCAGGAGUUCUUGAACGUUGUGGGUCAGACAUUCAUGAGUGUGGAGCGCCACCUACUGCACACUAGUGAGACCAAGGUGGAGUCAGUUGGAAAAGAAGGCCUCGUCCCAUCAAGCUCCACCUGCUCUCUGACCUUCUCCCACAGUAAA